AUCAUUUUUUGGUUCAUGAGUGUGAUGACUGGGAAUUCACGGUGUUGCCUGAUAUGUGCCUCUCACAAAUUUUGUUAUGACUUUGACACAUUACCCAUCUGAAG